AUGGAGACCUGUAUGAAUGGCAUCACGAGGGCUUAACUGUCUCCUUUCUUCAGCCAAUGAAAUUGAUCUCCCCGUGCAGAAGCGGGGAUAACCUCAUAAGACGAGAAGACCCUAUGGAGCUUUAGACACCAAGACAGCUUACGUCAAGAACCCCCUUAUAAAGAAUUGAACUAAGUAUACCCUGUCCUAAUGUC
rnacentral:rRNA from 1 species